UAUACUUUAAUAAAACUACUACACAAAAGCUCUGAGCAAUCAAGCCUUGUCUCUGGCCCCAGAUUGAAUUCCCUGGAGUCCAAGAACCCCAGUGUCUUUGCGUGAUUCAGCAACAACCUUUCAUCUUGGGGGCUCAUCCGGGAUUCUUCAGGACAAGAUGGGAGCUAACAAUUGUAGCCUCACUCCUUUGAACUGUAUCCUGAAAAACUGGCAUAUAUUCGAUCCCCAGAGCUUAAAGAAGACACACCUGGUCUUCCUAUGUGAUAUUGCAUGACCGAGGUACCCACUGGAGGGUGGCGAACGGUGGCCGGUUGGAGGGUCUCUUAAGUAUAAUAACUGUUUUACAAUUAGAUUGGUUCUGUAGAAAACAAGGGAAGUGGGUAGAAGUAGCAUAUGUGUUGCCAGACUUAUGUUCUAAGGGUAGAGAUUUGGGUGUGAAACCUUCAGCUCCCUCCUGUCCUCCUACUUUCCUAGAUGAGAUGGAGGACAGGAGACAAAGAGGUAAAGAAAAGCAGGUUUCUCCAAUCUAUUCCUGGGAUCUUAUACUCAGAGCAGCCAGAGACACCGAGGAACAGCCUUCAUGAAGCACCUACUGGGAGAAAUAAUCAGUCUAUGAGAAUUCAUAAGCCUUUUUCUUAUCAAGAAAUACAAGAAAUCAAGGAGGAUCUGGGAGACUAUUUAGAGGACUCAGAAAAAUACAUGAGAUCUUUGAAAGGUGUUACUCUGCUUUAUGACCUUACUUGGAAGGAUAUAAUAUAUAUCUUGGGACAAACGCUGACUCCCGACUCAAAAAAGUUUUGGGAAAAGCGGUUGCUUAUGGACAUGAAUGGCUUGGUAAUGAAUCAGUAGGGAAGAGGGAGAUAACUGCCCUCCCCACUGGGAAUGAGGUGGUCCCAAUUACAGAACCAGACUGAAACUACAACACAGCUAAGGGAAGAUGGGAUCAGAGUCAUUUUGUCAGAUAUAUUCUUGAAGGACUCAGGCAGGGGUGUGCUAAACCUUUAAGGUGAAGUCAGUUAGUCGUGUCUGACUCUUUGCGAUCCCAUGGAAUGUAGCCUAUCAGGCUCCUCUGUCCAUGGGAUUUUUAAACUAAGGCUUUAAACUAUGGCAAAUUGGCAGACAUAGAACAGGAGGAGAAGGAAGCUCCUGGUAAAUUCCUAGAUAGACUGAGAGAAGCAGAUUCACUGAGAUUGAUUCCAAAAGUGAAGAGGGAAAAGUGAUCUUAAAGGAUAGAUUUCUCAGUCAGUCUAGAUACCAGCCAUAAGCUAUCAAGACGGUCAUAUGGACCAAAUCAGUCUUUAGAUAAUCUGUUCCAACUGGCUCAGACAGUCUAUUAUGGUAGGGAUUAUGAGGAAAAGAAAGAAAGACAGAAAAAGACAAAGGAACAGGUGGAAGCCUUCAAAAUGGCUAUGAAAACUGUUCUUAAACAGCCUGAGAAAAAUGCCCAGAGGGACCCAGGUGAAAAGGGAUGGACUUGCUAUUACUGUGGAAAGGAGGGGCACCUCAAGCAGGAUUGCCCUCAGGCAUCUACGCUGCUCCCGCUGCAUGUCCGGUCUGCAAAGGACCACACUGGAAGAGAGACUGCCCCCAGAGGCGUAGGUCUCAGGGGUCGGACUCUCAAGACAAUCAGGACUGAAGGUGCCCAGGGGUCCGCACACAAGCUCACCUCCUAAUUACACCUGAGGAACCCCAGGUAUUAAACUGUGGGAGGCCAAUCCGUCGAUUUCCUUUUAGAUACUGGGGCAACUUACUCUGUGCUUUCUGAAGCCCCUGGCCCACUAUCUUCCCAAUCCGCUUCUGUAAUGGGACUGUCUGGACAAGACAAAAGAUGGACCAGAUAAUCUAUGUGAACCUACUUCUGCUGACUCUAAAAAUCCUGAGUCUGCCGUUUGAUCCUCAAGAUAAUGCCUUCCUAUCCUGGGCUCAUUCCUACGCUGGAUUCCACAGUCAGUCUAACUGCUGGGUCUGUGGAGUGCUUCCCUCUUAAUCAGUGGAAGGCCUCCCGUGGUGGACAUCUCCACUUCAAGGAAGAGACUCUCCAAGUCUGCAAGUUCUGUCAACAACAAUCACAUGUGAUGCCUCAUCUUAAACUGAUGACAUCUAACAACCUUAAGAUGGACUGAUGUGACUAUAGACAUAAAGUGACUUUUCAUUUUUAUUUUAACUUGGUUUAAUGACUGUUUUGCCUGUAUCUGUAUAAUGGGAUUUUCUAACCGUCUAAAAGCUUUUAGUUUACAAAUGGUUCUCUAAGCUCCUAUGAGUCAAUAGCCUCCUCCAACUACUACUUGGGGCUCCUGAAU